GAGUUUGAUCCUGGCUCAGAUUGAACGCUGGCGGCAGGCCUAACACAUGCAAGUCGAGCGGCAGCACAAGGGAGUUUACUCCUGAGGUGGCGAGCGGCGGACGGGUGAGUAAUGCCUAGGGAUCUGCCCAGUCGAGGGGGAUAACAGUUGGAAACGACUGCUAAUACCGCAUACGCCCUACGGAGGAAAGGAGGGGACCUUCGGGCCUUCCGCGAUUGGAUGAACCUAGGUGGGAUUAGCUAGUUGGUGAGGUAAUGGCUCACCAAGGCGACGAUCCCUAGCUGUUCUGAGAGGAUGACCAGCCACACUGGAACUGAGACACGGUCCAGACUCCUACGGGAGGCAGCAGUGGGGAAUAUUGCACAAUGGGGGAAACCCUGAUGCAGCCAUGCCGCGUGUGUGAAGAAGGCCUUCGGGUUGUAAAGCACUUUCAGUAGGGAGGAAAGGUUGCAGUUUAAUAAAC
rnacentral:rRNA from 1 species